CGGGGAAAAGAACCCACCAGGGAUUGCCCUAGUAACGGCGAGUGAAGCGGCAACAGCUCAAAUUUGAAAUCUGGCCCUCGUGGUCCGAGUUGUAAUUUGUAGAGGAUGCUUUUGGUUAGGUGCCUUCCGAGUUCCCUGGAACGGGACGCCAUAGAGGGUGAGAGCCCCGUCUGGUUGGACACCGAGCCUCUGUAAAGCUCCUUCGACGAGUCGAGUAGUUUGGGAAUGCUGCUCUAAAUGGGAGGUAUAUGUCUUCUAAAGCUAAAUAUUGGCCAGAGACCGAUAGCGCACAAGUAGAGUGAUCGAAAGAUGAAAAGCACUUUGAAAAGAGGGUUAAAAAGUACGUGAAAUUGUUGAAAGGGAAGCGCUUGUGACCAGACUUGGGCCCGGUCAAUCAUCCAGGGUUCUCCCUGGUGCACUUGGCCGGCCCAGGCCAGCAUCAGUUUGUCGCGGGGGAUAAAGACGUUGGGAAUGUGGCUCCUCCGGGAGUGUUAUAGCCCUUCGUGUAAUACCCUGCUUCGGACUGAGGUUCGCGCAUCUGCAAGGAUGCUGGCGUAAUGGUCAUCAGCGACCCGUCUUGAAACACGGACCAAGGAGUCGUCUUCGUAUGCGAGUGUUCGGGUGUCAAACCCCUACGCGUAAUGAAAGUGAACGCAGGUGAGAGCUUCGGCGCAUCAUCGACCGAUCCUGAUGUUCUCGGAUGGAUUUGAGUAAGAGCAUACGGGGCCGGACCCGAAAGAAGGUGAACUAUGCCUGUAUAGGGUGAAGCCAGAGGAAACUCUGGUGGAGGCUCGCAGCGGUUCUGACGUGCAAAUCGAUCGUCAAAUAUGGGCAUGGGGGGCGAAAGACUAAUCGAACCUUCUAGAG
rnacentral:rRNA from 1 species